rnacentral:misc_RNA from 1 species
AACACGAAAAAAAAAUAAAGGAAAUACUCAACCGGACCUUGCCCGCAAAGGAGGUCUGGAAACAGAAGGAUACACAGAGAGAACCGCACGCUGCGGCGGGCGCGUAACAAGAGAGAGAGAGACUCGGCGCGUGUCGUUGCAUCGUGGGCAUGUAGGCUUGAAAACGUGCUUGCUCGCCGUGUUGGCGUUCAGAUUGUAGCGCCUUCUUUUUCCCCUUCUUUUUCUUUGAGGAUGGCGCGCACAUCGGGUGUACAUGUGUGUCGCGCCACAGGCCUGAUUCUUUGUUUUUGUUUUCCUUCUAUCGAUGCUGAGGUGCAAGCACACGCAUGCGUUCGCACCGCUCUGCCCAUGUCGCUUUCUCUCUACAUGCCCCCCCCCUCAGCCUCCACACACUCAUGAUUUUCGCCCCAUCUACUCCCUCUCCGUCGCCGCCACCCCACCCCCUCUUCUUUUCAACCUCUUUCAAUGCAUUCCUCUACCUCUCUUCGGUGUCCUUCUCUCCUCCCCAUGUCCUUCCCUACGCGCGAGCAACACCAAAACACCUUCCUAG